UACGAAGGGGGCAAGCGUUGUUCGGAAUCACUGGGCGUAAAGGGCGCGUAGGCGGUCCUUCAAGUCAGGCGUGAAAGCCCCGGGCUCAACCUGGGAACGGCGCUUGAGACUGGCGGACUGGAGUUCGGGAGAGGAUGGUGGAAUUCCCAGUGUAGAGGUGAAAUUCGUAGAGAUUGGGAAGAACACCGGUGGCGAAGGCGGCGUCCUGGACUGGUACUGACGCUCAGGAGCGAAAGCGUGGGGAGCGAGCCGG
rnacentral:rRNA from 1 species